GUGCUAGACGGACGGAUUCUUCAUCUGCAGCAGCUGCAUUCUAAAAGAAACCAUUACAAAAAUAAGGAAAAAUGAAUUUUACAAACUAUGUCAUAUGUUUUCUUUGUUUCCUCAAUAUAACUCUGAUUAGAAUGUCAAACAAAGAUAAAAUCAUCCGUAUUAAUCGUCAAUAUCGUGUAUAUUAUUAAUAUGAGCGUCUUUGCGUUAAAUUCGUGCUACACCACACCAUGCACUUAUAUCGACGUCGCAAUGCAAAAGAAGAAGGGCAAGAAAGAAACCUGUCCUGGUCUGGCGAUUUAAGGGGACAUUUGUUUAAGCCUGUCUAGAUCUUUUAUCAGUCUAGAAAGAUGUUGGAGAAAAGACAUCAUCCUCUUCUAUAAUCUCCAUCUGUAAUUGGACUAACAACUGGACCAGUGAAUGCAGGCAACUUACUCUCCAUUCGACCUUGCAGGUCACACCAUGGUCUCAAGAGGAAAAAUGAGUGCUCUAUGGAUUUAACAGAAAAAGGUGAAUCAAAACUCCAACCAUCUGUAUGAGGGUCUGGAUGGAUAAAGGAUGCCCACUGGAGCUGGAAAUGAUGGAUCAGGUCAUUUUCAUUUGUCACAUUUACAAAGAAGCACACUCUAAGGAUUGCGUUACCCUGUCUGUGGCAAAUACACUAGACAAAAGUAUUGGGAGGCCUCAUUCUAAUAAACAUGUUUAUUUAUUCCAGUAUGUCCAAUCAAAACAAAUAAAAAUGCUAUACCAUAUAAUACCACUACAAAGAAUUUUGAUUUUUGUUGCAACAGUUUUGUAAGUGCCUUUUUCUGUUCCGAAAUGACCACAGCUUCUUGUACAAGUCAUUGAUAGGUUUAGGUGAUGAGUUUUUGGCUAAAAACCUUUGAGUCAUAUCAAAGGUGUUAGCUGAGUUAAGGUCUAUUCAGACCAGUCAAAGUUCUUCCACACCAGACUGAAUCACUAAUUUUCUGUUUGAACCUUACUUUGUUUGUAGGGUCAUUCUUAAGUUGGUAUUGAAAAGGGCCCUGCCAAAACUCUUGCUAUAAAUUUAGCAUCAAACGUUUUUUCUAGAAUAUCAUAUGCUGUAGCAUUAAGAUUUGUGCUCAUGGAAAUAAGUAAAGUAUUUAAACCUGUUUAUUAGAAGGAGGUGUCGCAAUAGUUAUGUCUAUAUAGUUUAUGUUUAACAAGCCAAAAUAACUAGGGCUGCUUCUUUUUAAGAACUUUUGGGUAUUUUUAAAUCAGCCAGAGGAAUAACAGUCCUUAAAUGUGUAAUGUACUGCCAUAAUUUUGUAAUGAUCAAACGUGAGGUCAGAUUCUUGUUAACCUACUGUGUUCUUUCUUGAUGGUUAGCCGAGUGUCCCAGGACAGAAAAUCUGUUUCGUAUGGAUCAGAGUCAGACAUUAACAUCUAAUAUGUAAUAUCUAGUGAUAUGUUUUCUUAGAUAAUGCUGUGAACAAAUGCUCUUUUACCUUGAAUAUUAGGUGGAUCCACACUUGAACCAUCUGUAUGAUGAUCUGCACCCACUGGAUCUGUAAAUGGUGGUGCAGGUAAGUUUCACAAGUAAACAAACUCAAAUCCUAUUCAGACCAUUCAUGAUUCCAGCAAUAACCAAGUUUUUUCGUAACAAUAAGACUGCAUUUACAAUGCAAAUCUUAAUGCACAGAUCAUAUUUUUUUGACUAUAUUCAUUUUUUGUUCUGAUCUUUUUAUAUUUACAUAAGACACUAUUCAUAUCUGAUAUCGGUGUUACAAUAAUUUGCAAAACUACAGUUAAUAUGAGUGUCAUGAUUUGCACUUGAGUUUUGUAUCGACUUAAGCCAGGGUCACUGCCAAUUUAGGCAUGUUUUAAUUAUGACACUUAAACAAUUGUAUAUGUACUUCGAUAAAGGUUUUUGCAAUCAUGGAAACAUAAGUGAAUCGCAGACAGCAUUCUUCUUUUAUGAAUGUAAAAUGGCUGGAGUAGUGAUGUCACUAGCUAAAUUAAUUUUCAUUUGACCUCCCCCACAGAAAGACACAGCACAUCAUUAUAUCGUUGGCUCCGCCCACUGGUGUUCAGUCUAAAGUAGUAGUUGUUGACAAUCAUAAAGUUUUAAUAACAGUAAGAUUGUGAUGUCAGACAAACAUUGUGCUGUUGCUGGCUGUGGGAAAUUAGUGUCUUUGUAAGGGUCGCAGAUAAUUUGAAAAUAUUUAUGUUUCUAAAUAUGCCCCCCUACCAUGAACUAAACUGGACUGUUGCAGAGACCAAGUGUAGUAGGGUACACUACUAUGCAGAAUUCUGGCCUGGUGUUUGGUCCCCCCUUUCUCUGGCUUGUGUCUCCAUCAUCAUUACACUCUUGUCAGUGUAAUAGUACCGUCGUCUGCAUACCAGGACUUUGUUACUCAGCUGUCCCUUCUCCUUCAAGCUACAUUUUUGUCAAGCUGCAACAAGUUGGAAUACAUAAUUAUUAACGUUUAAUGAUUUUGAUGUAUGAAAUAUGUAACAAAAGCAAAAAAUGUAUAGACAUUCUAUUAAGAAAUUACCUUUUUGUUGUUUGUUUACUGACCUUUCAACCAUAUUGCAUUUAUAAUUGAUCAUCAUACCUUUGGUCUACUGUUAACAGGCUACUGUAGAAAACAAAGUCAAACAAAAAAGAGAGAAAAAAUUAUAAAUGCUGAAUGUGUCUCAUCUUAAAUACAUUGUUGUUGUAUUUGUUUCAUUGAAUUUGGAUGUUUUGAUGAUUUAAGGAAAAUUUACGUAGCAUAUAUAUUGAUGUUUUAAAUCAGAGUUUGUUAAUGACACUUAAUCAUUAACAAACAUUUAAAAAGCUUUAUUACAAUACUAAUUGAUAAUAUAUAUGUAAUAAUCUUGUUUUGUAACACCCUAAAUCACUGAGCGCACAAACGCUACCCCUGUUACAAGCAUGAGUGAUUGACUUCAGGCACACAUGCGCAGACAUUGAAGUACCGCGAGAGUGAUUCAAAAGCCCACGAAACAGUGUAAUCACGCGGUACUGUGAUGUCAUACUGGUUAAGGCUAAGCCACGUGAAGCCGGACACAAGGGCUACACUAAUCUUUGGGCUGGAGUAGCCUGUGGCUUUCAAGGCUUCGUGUCUCAUCGCGUUAAACGAUCGCAGAACGAUUUAUUUCUCUUUUUCACCUCGAUCUUUGGCCUCGUGUGAUUUACCAAAACCAACAUGUGAAGUUACAACGCUGACGAAGGAGUUUCAUCAGUAGAGUGUGUCCUGGAAAACGUGUGCUCGGAAACAUGCAGAAUACAGUAUUUACAGAGCCGACCUUGAGGCACCCACUGAUGGAUAAUCUGUUUACCUAAAAACAGCCCACCACAAUCCAUGUUUACCAGCUGUGAAAGUGCAGGCCAAAAAUCUUCCUUCACCUGUGGGCCUCUACCCACAUGUAGAUAAGCAUUUCAGGAGAAACCUGCCUGUGAUCUGCUAAGAUGCACAGAUUCAACUCUGGCCCAUUGUCAUCCCAACACCUCAUCUGCCAUCAGUUUCGUUUAGAGUCGGUCUAUUGCAAAAGUUCUUAUAAACUUUAAAUGAGACUUUGUGUUAAGCAGGGGUUUCCAAACUUUUCAUUCCACAACAUAUUAAGCCCAGGAUACACAGCAGGAUUUUUGCAAUCCAGUAAGACCUUAUCACACUGUGUGACAAGGAUUGUUUAAACUUCAGCAGUAGACUGUCGAUGAAGACACCUAUUGCAUCUGAAGCUGCGACAUCUGUCAUCAACAUGCGCUAGUGGUAAACAAAUACAGGUAUGCAGGUCGUAGAAGCAAACACAUUGUUGAUGUGCGUUGAUCAUGCUGAACUUCUUACACUGUCAUUAAACUAUCGUAGGUGUCUUUGGUCCCAGGACUGGGAAAACAGACGUCUUUAAACCUCUCACACUGUAUGAGAUAGGACCACCAAUUAAGAGCCACGAUCACAGAAAUCUCCACAAUUGUUUCACGAUUGGUAAUCUUUCAUCUGGGACAGCCAAAAAUCGUGCCGUGUAUUAUGGGCUUUAGACAGGUGUAAUCUUAUAGUAUAUCAAAACCAUUGCUAAUAAUUAAUUGGACAAACCAUCACUACAAUGCAACACUCACUAUCUUACGGUGCGACCCACAAGUGGGUCUUCACCCACAGUUUAAAAACCCUGAGUAUGAGAAAGAGUAUGUUGUAUUGUAAUUAAAGUCACAUCUAAGUGUUAUGGAACAGUUUGUCAUUAUAUUCACAGUAUUACAUGGUUCUUUCAGCAGUUACUACGUUACAGUGCUCUUAAAGUGUCCUGAUCAGCUUUGGGUCUUGUGAAGUAAUGUAAUGAGAACGUGAUCAAUAGCUUUGCAGUAUUUUGUUACACUCUGGCUGUAAUCAUUUUAACACAUAGGUUAAACAUUUUAUUCAAAUUUGGUAAACAAACUAGUCAAUAUAAUUCAUGCUGUGAUGCUGGAUUAAACCUGGUCAAAUGAUUGUGUAUUGUGUUUUCAAUUUUUUAUUAGGUUUCUUCAUCUAUAUAAACAUUCUUAAUAUCA